rnacentral:rRNA from 1 species
UACGGAGGGAGCAAGCGUUACUCGGAAUUACUGGGCGUAAAGGGCGCGUAGGCGUUCUAUCAAGUCUUGUGUGAAAGCCCUGGGCUCAACCCAGGAAGUGCAUUCGAAACUGCAGAGCUGGAGUCCUGGAGAGGAAGGCGGAAUUCUCGGUGUAGAGGUGAAAUUCGUAGAUAUCGAGAGGAACACCGGUGGCGAAGGCGGCCUUCUGGACAGUGACUGACGCUGAGACGCGAAGCGUGGGGAGCAAACAGG